GUGCGCAGUUCCCGUGCCCUAGGAGUUGGCGGCGGGGCCCAGCCGAGGUAUAAGUUCCACAGCUUCACCCUUGUCGGUGUGAUAUGGGCGUGAAAGAAGACAUAAAACAGGCUUCCCGAGUAGAACCUGCCACCCCGGGCUGGUGGGGACGCGGCACCAGGCCGGGCCGGGGGAAGCCGCUCGGACAGUGGUCCUUGGGUGAGCGCCUUCUUCGGGGCCCAUGGGCCAGGCCAGUGCGGCCCGGGACGCCCCGGACCACCUGGGGAAGAACCGCCCGGGCCGGCCUUUGGCUGUCCCAGGCAGCGGCUGGAGCCCGAGUGGGCCCUGGCGGGAUCUGGGACGGGGAGGGUCUGCGGCGCAGCCAGGAGGCCUGGGAAGUCCCGAGGUGGGUAGAGAAGGGCCGCGAGGGGGCGCUGAGACGGCGAGUGGCCGGGCCUGGGAGUGACAGUUGUCAGGAGAGCAGUCAGGACACCGUUGCUCAGAGUCCAGGCCGGUUAGGACCAGAGCCUACCCCGGGUGGCAUGGUGAUGAUCCAGAUUCAGGAGACAUGUCUGAGAAAGGAUCGUUCAGACUUUUUGACCUAUUUUACAUGAGGAAUAAAGGAUAGAGGUCAGGAAAGUUGUCCAAAAAUUUUUUUCAUUGUUGUUAAAAAGUUCAUUUAGUGUAAAACAGGCAAUUAUCUGUGCGUUUAAUAUGCAGGCUAAGGUUGUUUCUUUCAGGCUUUCUUUCUUUGUGGCAUGUAAUUUCUAUUUAACAAAUGUAUGUUGAGUGUCAGCUGUGUGUCAAUUGCUAUGCUAGAUAACAGAGAAACAAAUUAUUAAUAACAUCCUCACUUUCCAUGAGUUCAAAUUCUAGUACAGGAAAAAGUCAUCUAAAUAAUUCUAAUGAAAUGUCAUAAGGCUAAAUAACAAAGGUAUAUGUAAGGAAUUCUAUCAAAUGUUCUAUUAACUAUUAGCAUGGAACAAUUAAGGGACUAGCUCUGGUUUCCAGAUGGAAUGGCCCUUAUGGACAUCAGGCAUAAUGGGUCAUUUGCUUAACAGAAGGCAGAAUUUCAUAUCUAAUAUUUUAGGUUAUAAAUAAGGGCAUAUAGUAGAAAGAGGCAAAAAGAAAAAAAAAGACAACGUACCUCCAAAACCCAGCUAAAACCUCUCUCUUUAGAAAGGACUCCUGGAUUUUCUACAGUUUUAUGUUUUAUCCAGAUGAGAGGUGUGUAAUGUAGUCGCUAAGAGGCUGGACUCAGGAGCUAAACUGCCAGAGUUUACAUCCCAGCUGCACCACUUACUAAUGGGCUGACCUUGUAUAAGUUGCUUAAUACCUUGUUUCUCAUUUUGCUUAUCUGUGAAAUGGGGAUGAUAAUUAUAGUCCCCAUAAGAUUGUUAUGAAGAUUUUUGUAUUUCUAAAGUUAAGAGAUGAAGUCUCAUUUUCAUUCCCUACGAUAGAGCCUUCAGAAUGACUGUACCCAGAAGUCAGAUUUUUAUUUUAGUAAAUAAAUAACUCGUUGAUUUAGUACAGUUUUUCAAAGUUAUUUUUUAUCUGGUUUUACAGCAGAUUCUGAUUACAUGUUAUAUUUGAAACUGAUACUCAUAUAUCUUCAGCUUAAUGAUUUGUAACAUUGAAAAUUGCAUUUCCAUUGAUUGUUCUUUGCAGCAUGAUUGUUCUUUGUUACUGAUAUGAUGAUCUUUCUGUCCUUCUGCCAAUAAUUGGAAACAAUCCUACAUCAUGAGCUAUCUUUUUAUUCUGAGGUUUUAGUGUUUGUGUAAACAAAUAACACUUGCUGUUCAAUGAUUAUAUUUUCUUUAACACCUUUUUGCCUAAAACAUGCUUUUGUUAUUUGCUUUCAUUAUAAGGAAAUACAUGAAAAGAUGAAUUUAAAAGGCUCUGUUUCUGCCCUCCAUGGCUGGUACUGUUUAUCAGUUGCUCAGCAGUACCGUCACUGCUGGUGACAUUGUUGGGGCUAUUUAGCUGAACUAUCGCUCAAUUAGUCUUUUUCCAUUAUUUAUAUGUAAUCAUUAAUUAAUUAAUAUUAUGUUCUCUUCAACAGAAUAGUCACCUUGAAGUAUAAUGUCUUCAAGUGGGUCCUGGGGGCAUAGACAGAACUGGAGUAAUAGUCAAUCAAACCUUCCCUUGAUAAUCCUCCCCACACAGUGCGCUGUACCUAAUGCAAGCGCAAGCUACCAGACCGUGCAUUACGAGUUUAUUUCCAUGCUGUUCACAUAUGUGAGCUGCAGAAGACCGUGAUGCUUCAGAAGUUAAACUCUCAUGUUUUCUAGAUAGGAGGUGCUUCUCUAAGAUUUUAAAUGCCCUAACAGUUGUUUUCUGAAGUUGUUUCUCUGAACUUAUGGGUAAAUCUCCCAAGUGAAAGGAAGACCCUAAAACGUUCCCAAGUCUUGCCUUCUUCUAAAGGUGAGGGUAACCCAGUGAGCACACGAGGGGCUUGGCUUAUGAAGCAUCAUUUUCAAGUCUUUGCCAGACUUUUUGCUUCCAUUUUUGACAUCUUCAUUCAUGCUAUUGAACAUCUAUGUUACCAGUCUCAUAUUUAAAAUACAGCAGCAUACAAAACAUUUUUUCACUUUGGUUGAGUGUAGUGUUUUGAUAAGUGAACAAUUUUCCAAAGGUUACUCAGCUGUUUUUGACUACUGUAGAGAACUGGUUAGAAAUUCAACUGCCGUGCCACUCUCUGAAAAGACUCUUGAUUUGCAAGAGAGGAAAUAGUCAUUGUGAAUAGUUUCUAUUCUGACCAUA
rnacentral:lncRNA from 1 species